UUGUGGAGGAGGACGCCGAAGGUGGGGCUGAUGACUGGGGUGAAGUCGUAACAAGGUAGCCGUACCGGAAGGUGCGGCUGGAUCACCUCCUAACAGGGAGACAAAAACUGAUUGUGAUGUCUGAGUAAAAUUCUUAGGCCAUAAUCCUGUCACCUUAGGUCGAUCGGUACCUCAGAUUGAUUACCAAAGUUUGGUAAUCAAUUUUAGUUCCUAAAUUUUGUCUAGGUCACACUCAACAAUGGUUCUUCUGGGCCAUUAGCUCAGGUGGUUAGAGCGCACCCCUGAUAAGGGUGAGGUCCCUGGUUCAAGUCCAGGAUGGCCCAUUCGGCGUUGGGGGUAUAGCUCAGUUGGUAGAGCGCCUGCUUUGCAAGCAGGAUGUCAGCGGUUCGAGUCCGCUUACCUCCACUGAUUAACCACAAAAUAUCCCCACGAUAUAGACACUGAAUUUGUUGAAUGUGAUUUGGAUUUGUUUUCUGAGAUGACCCUAGCUUUCUAUCAUUCCUUUAACUAAAAGAACUUUUAGAUUUGGUUGAUAACAAGCUGGGCUCUCUUUGAUUCGAAAGAAUCUUAGUGAUCUUCAGUAGAACCUUGACAACUGCAUAGAUAAGUCUGGAAAGAAUAAAGCAUCUCAUGGAUGCAUUAUCUUAAAUUUUUGAUUAAUUUCAACGUUAAGGUAAAUGUUUAAUUCUUGAGCAAGAGUCGAGACUCUAGGUGAUUAUUCAAUGAAAAUUGAACCUUAAAAUGCAAAAUAAAUUAUAUAUUUAGGCAGCAUUUUAAGGUGUUAAUACAUAAUCAAUCUAGAGGAUUAAUGGUCAAGCUACAA
rnacentral:misc_RNA from 1 species